GACGAACGCUGGCGGUGUGCUUAACACAUGCAAGUCGAACGGUAAGGCCCUUUCGGGGGUACACGAGUGGCGAACGGGUGGGUAACACGUGAGUAACCUGCCCUCAUCUCUGGGAUAACAGUCGGAAACGGUUGCUAAUACUGGCUAUGAGCUUGCAAGGCAUCUUGUGGGUUGGAAAGAUUUUUUUGGUUGGGGAUGGACUCGCGGCCUAUCAGCUUGUUGGUGAGGUAGUGGCUCACCAAGGCUUCGACGGGUAGCCGGCCUGAGAGGGCGACCGGCCACAUUGGGACUGAGAUACGGCCCAAACUCCUACGGGAGGCAGCAGUGGGGAAUAUUGCACAAUGGACGGAAGUCUGAUGCAGCAACGCCGCGUGCGGGAUGACGGCCUUCGGGUUGUAAACCGCUUUCAAUUGUGACGAAGCUUUUUGUGACGGUAGCAGUAGAAGAAGCACCGGCUAACUACGUG
rnacentral:rRNA from 1 species